AUCGAACGCUGGCGGCAGGCCUAACACAUGCAAGUCGGGCGAGUUUCGGACUGUUGAGUAAUGUAUGGGGAACUGCCUGAUGGAGGUGGAUAACUACUGGAAACGGUCGCUAAUACCGCAUACCAUCAUCUGAACCCCUAUGGGAUUAGCUUGUAGGUUGGGUAACGGCUCACCUAGGCGACGAUCCCUAGCUGGUCUGAGAGGAUGAUCAGCCACACUGGGACUGAGACACGGCCCAGACUCCUACGGGAGGCAGCAGUGGGGAAUAUUGCACAAUGGGCGCAAGCCUGAUGCAGCCAUGCCGCGUGUAUGAAGAAGGCCUUCGGGUUGUAAAGUACUUUCAGUCGGGAGGCGGGACCGAAAGAAGAAGCACCGGCUAACUCCGUGCCAGCAGACGCGGUAAGAC
rnacentral:rRNA from 1 species